UACGGGGGGGGGCAAGCGUUUGUUCGGAAUUACUGGGCGUAAAGGGCGCGUAGGCGGUUCGAUAAGUCAGCUGUGAAAACCAUGGGCUUAACUCAUGGCCUGCAGUUGAGACUGUCGGGCUGGAGUGUGGGAGAGGAGAGUGGAAUUCCUGGUGUAGCGGUGAAAUGCGUAGAUAUCAGGAGGAACAUCGGUGGCGAAGGCGGCUCUCUGGACCACAACUGACGCUGAGGCGCGAAAAGCCUAGGGGGAGCAAACAGG
rnacentral:rRNA from 1 species